GUAGGUGGCAAGCGUUGUCCGGAAUUAUUGGGCGUAAAGCGCGCGCAAGCGGUUCUUUAAGUCUGAUGUGAAAGCCCACGGCUCAACCGUGGAGGGUCAUUGGAAACUGGAGAACUUGAGUACAGAAGAGGAAAGCGGAAUUCCACGUGUAGCGGUGAAAUGCGUAGAGAUGUGGAGGAACACCAGUGGCGAAGGCGGCUUUCUGGUCUGUAACUGACGCUGAGGCGCGAAAGCGUGGGGAGCAAACAGGAUUAGAUACCCUGGUAGUCCACGCCGUAAACGAUGAGUGCUAAGUGUUAGGGGGUUUCCGCCCCCCUUAGUGCUGCAGCUAACGCAUUAAGCACUCCGCCUGGGAGUACGGCCGCAAGGCUG
rnacentral:rRNA from 1 species